rnacentral:rRNA from 1 species
AACGUAGGUGGCGAGCGUUAUCCGGAUUUACUGGGCGUAAAGGGUGUGCAGGCGGGCUGUUAAGUGGUGUAUGAAAUAUCCCGGCUCAACCGGGAGAGGUUAUGCCAGACUGGCAGUCUAGAGAGCGAGAGAGGGACGUGGAAUUCCGGGUGUAGUGGUGAAAUGCGUAGAGAUCCGGAGGAACCCCAGAGGCGAAGGCGGCGUCCUGGCUCGCAUCUGACGCUGAGGCACGAAGGUCAGGGGAGCAAACGGG